rnacentral:rRNA from 1 species
UAUCCCAAUCCUAGAGAUUGUAAGACCCCUUGAAGAACACGAGGUAGAUAGGACAGAGGUGGAAGUGCAGUAAUGUAUGUAGCUGACUGUUACUAAUAGGUCGAGGGCUUAUCCUAA